rnacentral:rRNA from 1 species
CUGGGCGUUAAGUUGCAGGGUAUAGACCCGAAACCCGGUGAUCUAGCCAUGGGCAGGUUGAAGGUUGGGUAACACUAACUGGAGGACCGAACCGACUAAUGUUGAAAAAUUAGCGGAUGACUUGUGGCUGGGGGUGAAAGGCCAAUCAAACCGGGAGAUAGCUGGUUCUCCCCGAAAGCUAUUUAGGUAGCGCCUCGUGAAUUCAUCUCCGGGGGUAGAGCACUGUUUCGGCAAGGGGGUCAUCCCGACUUACCAACCCGAUGCAAACUGCGAAUACCGGAGAAUGUUAUCACGGGAGACACACGGCGGGUGCUAACGUCCGUCGUGAAGAGGGAAACAACCCAGACCGCCAGCUAAGGUCCCAAAGUCAUGGUUAAGUGGGAAACGAUGUGGGAAGGCCCAGACAGCCAGGAUGUUGGCUUAGAAGCAGCCAUCAUUUAAAGAAAGCGUAAUAGCUCACUGGUCGAGUCGGCCUGCGCGGAAGAUGUAACGGGGCUAAACCAUGCACCGAAGCUGCGGCAGCGACGCUGAUGCGUUGUUGGGUAGGGGAGCGUUCUGUAAGCCUGUGAAGGUGUGCUGUGAGGCAUGCUGGAGGUAUCAGAAGUGCGAAUGCUGACAUAAGUAACGAUAAAGCGGGUGAAAAGCCCGCUCGCCGGAAGACCAAGGGUUCCUGUCCAACGUUAAUCGGGGCAGGGUGAGUCGACCCCUAAGGCGAGGCCGAAAGGCGUAGUCGAUGGGAAACAGGUUAAUAUUCCUGUACUUGGUGUUACUGCGAAGGGGGGACGGAGAAGGCUAUGUUGGCCGGGCGACGGUUGUCCCGGUUUAAGCGUGUAGGCUGGUUUUCCAGGCAAAUCCGGAAAAUCAAGGCUGAGGCGUGAUGACGAGGCACUACGGUGCUGAAGCAACAAAUGCCCUGCUUCCAGGAAAAGCCUCUAAGCAUCAGGUAACAUCAAAUCGUACCCCAAACCGACACAGGUGGUCAGGUAGAGAAUACCAAGGCGCUUGAGAGAACUCGGGUGAAGGAACUAGGCAAAAUGGUGCCGUAACUUCGGGAGAAGG